AUGGCUGUCGUCAGCUCGUGUCGUGAGAUGUUGGGUUAAGUCCCGCAACGAGCGCAACCCUUGUCCUAUGUUGCCAGCGGGUAAUGCCGGGGACUCGUAGGAGACUGCCGGGGUCAACUCGGAGGAAGGUGGGGAUGACGUCAAGUCAUCAUGCCCCUUAUAUCUAGGGCUGCAAACAUGCUACAAUGGCUGGUACAACGGGCUGCAAUACCGCGAGGUGGAGCAAAUCCCUUAAAGCCAGUCUCAGUUCGGAUUGGAGUCUGCAACUCGACUCCAUGAAGUCGGAGUCGCUAGUAAUCCCGGAUCAGCUACGCCGGGGUGAAUACGUUCCCGGGCCUUGUACACACCGCCCGUCACACCACGAAAGUCGGCAACACCCGAAGUCAGUGGCCCAACCCGCAAGGGAGGGAGCUGCCGAAGGUGGGGUUGGUGAUUGGGGUGAAGUCGUAACAAGGUAGCCGUACCGGAAGGUGCGGCUGGAUCACCUCCUUUCUAAGGAGCAUCCGAGUAACUCACUCGGAGCACCUGUUGAGGCACUGGCUAGUUUGAUUUGUCCGGAGUGAUCGAUACUCGAGUUCGCUCGUAUCGACCGCAAAGGCAGGUCGUUCCAUCCUCUCUUCCGUUUUGAGGGAACGAGACGUUCUCUCACCCAAUCGAGCUUGUGCGCGAGUACCCGUAUUCGAAACUCGCCCGCUCGAUGUCGCCCUUUGAGAAUUGCAUAGCGAACACGAGCAUCUUUCUUCCAAUUAUUUAAGAUUUCCAAGCUACAAAGAGCCAACGGCGGAUGCCUUGGCGUCUACUACCGACGAAGGACGCGGGAGGCUGCGAUAAGCCACGGGGAGCUGCCUACCAAGCGCGGAUCCGUGGAUGUCCGAAUGGGGAAACCCGG
rnacentral:sRNA from 1 species